CGCCCCGACACAUCUUGUUUGACAGCACUUUUUGUUUAUCUGUGUUUCCUCCAUAGGAGCUUGAGUUCCUGAAAAGCAAGGGCUGGGUUUUAAUUAUCUCUGGAAUGCCGUAACUUGGAACCAGAAGUAGUCACUGAAAAGCAUGUGAGCUAUGCCUGGUGGGCAGCGGGACCCCUGCGUGGGAGCGGGGCGGCUUUGCCUGGAGGCCCCGUGCAGAAAUCACGACGGAGUCGGAGAGUGCAGCUGCCUGGCGCAGCCGAGGGGCACACGCUACAAGGAGAGAGGAGGAAGACAGAGGGUGUGUUGGGGGGGGGUUACCGCUGCCACACUGGACCAGCACAUGAUUUCAAGCCACAGUUUUUUCAUGUAUAAAAAGGGGUUUCUUCUGAAAACCUCUCAGGAUUAUGAGGAGCAAAACAGAUAAUGGAUCUGAAAGCACUUGAAAAUCUCUAAUGAAUCAUACGAAGUUAAGAUAAUAAAAUCAACAUUUUGGGGUGAAAACUUGAAGUAAGGACAGAUUUUCCUAAUAUCAAAAAAUGUGAACACAGUAAGAGUGACUGACCCGCAGUUCCCAGAGGAUGGCUGUCUGUCGCAUCAAACACCAAAUAAACGGAGGAUUUGACUUCCUGCCUUCAGCAAUCAGGCUGAACAAAGGUAUCUCAUGAGCAUCUAACAAUAAACUUUUCUAUGUUCCAAAAAAUCCUCUCCUUUUACAACCUGUCUUAACAAAUAAUAGAAGGGUUGUUUAUGCCACUAAUUCUAUCUGCUUAGAAGUCCAAAGACACUAGGUCGAGGGCUCUGGGAGAAGCACCUCAUGAACAGGACAGCGGUCUCCACAGCAGGGCGACCACACACAGGUGUCACUGUUCUUUGCCUGAACAGUUUCUACAGAGCAGGCCGCUUUGCAAUAGAAUGAAAGUUAGAAAAAGCCACGUGAGAGAAGAAACAACGGGAAAGAGAGGACUUGACUGGAGUGCCCACCCCUUUUCCCUCUCUGAACCGGCUCAGUUCCCGGAGACAGGCACAUGGACAGGCACAUUCAUUCCACAUGUCAAGUGUUUAUUGUUAACACAGUCACCCAGAAAGUGAGAAUUAAUGAGUUAGCAGUACCGGGCUGCCCUGCCCCCCUGAAGUUACUUGUGGGCCAGCACUGGCACUGCCUCUGAGCAGAAUGGAGUGGACUGAGUCCGACAGAGACACCCCAACAGUGUGGGCCCACCUCACCUGCAAGGCCACCGGUGAUCGCCACACAGCAGCAAGGACACGCCCCUGCCACAUGUGUGCUCUCGGUCCCUCCCACUCUCCAAACUGGGGCUUGGCGGAGAACUUGAGGGCAGCGGCCUUCAGAGACAAUAAGCCUGGCAACUGCCUCCCUGCAGGUCUGAGAGAGAGGCCUGGGGAAACGCUGCGUCUAAUCAGCCCACUCUUUCUCCACCAGCACCUCGCAGAGACUCCAGCUGAAACAGCACCUCUGACAGAUCAGGAAUGCUCUGGCACCGUCAACUUUUGAUCAACAACAGGUCAUGCUUGCUGCUUGAAUAAAACCCCUCUCACUAAAAUCUGCAUCAACCAGCUAGUAGGUCGAUGGCACAAGCAGAGGAAAUAAGGAAACAAUCACGUAUCUUGUCUAAAUUUCCCAAUGGUAUAUCCAGUCUUUAGGGGAGUUUUGUAAAUCUCAAAGAACUCAACACAGAUUCAAAUUUCGUUGAAUAUGUUUAGAAUGUUAUCCUGACUUUCUGUAACUU